rnacentral:rRNA from 1 species
GACGAACGCUGGCGGCGUGCCUAACACAUGCAAGUCGAACGAGGUCCAUGCAGUGGCAACACUGCGGAAGACCUAGUGGCGAACGGGUGAGUAACACGUGAGGAACUUGCCCCCGGAGACCGGGAUAACUCUCCGAAAGGAGAGCUAAUACCGGAUGUCCUCACCGAGCCGCAUGGCUUGGUGAAGAAAUGGAUUCCGCUCCGGGAGAGCCUCGCGGCCUAUAAGCUAGUUGGUGGGGUAACGGCCCACCAAGGCAUCGACGGGUAGCUGGUCUGAGAGGACGAUCAGCCACACUGGGGAACUGGAGACACGGCCCCAGACUCCUACGGGAGGCAGCAGUGGGGAAUCUUGCGCAAUGGGCGAAAGCCUGACGCAGCAACGCCGCGUGCGGGAUGAAGGCCUCGGUUGUAAACCGCUAUCAGUGGGGACGAACCAAGACGGUACCCACAGAAGAAGCCCCGGCCAACUACGUGCCAGCAGCCGCGGUAACACGUAGGGGGCAAGCGUUGUCCGGAUUCAUUGGGCGUAAAGAGCUCGUAGGCGGCUCAGUAAGUCGGGUGUGAAACCUCCAGGCUCAACCUGGAGACGCCACCGAUACUGCUGUGGCUAGAGUCCAGUAGGGGAGCGUGGAAUUCCUGGUGUAGCGGUGAAAUGCGCAGA